AUGUCAAGUAUUGAUGUUCAGCAAAGCAUCCAGUUAAGAGGAUUGAUCAAUGACAAAGAGAACCAUGAUCAACCUGACAUUUGGAAUUUUUAUUGGGGUGGCACAAAAUACUCCAACCAAAGAAUAUAUCUAGAAUACAUUGGCAAUCCUAUAGAUGCUCCUAAACCAUUCCAAUUGAUAUGGAAAUCAUAUUCUCUACCCAAGCAAAAGUUCUUUUUCUGGCUUCUCCUGCAGGAUAGGCUUAACACAAGAGAUCUCCUCACCAGGAAAAGUUUCCAUGUCCAAUCUACCUCAUGUGUUUUAUGUGAAGAUGAACCAAAUGAACACUUGAUGCACCUCUUUUUCAGCUGUGCUUUCAGUCAGAAUUUCUGGAUGAACAUUGGUAUCCAAUGGAACACAGACUAUGAUCUUCUUGAAAUGUUGUUGGAUGGCAGGAGACACAACAAUAUUAUAUGCUAUAAAGAAUGGUUGAUUGCAGGUUGUUGGAGCUUAUGGAAGCACAUGAAUGGUAUCAUAUUUGACCACAAGGAAAAGAAUAUGGCAUACUGUAUUAGUACUUUCAAAGAACACUUUGGUAUGAUUAUCAAGAAAGCAAAGCCUAGUUUGAAGGAAGGAAUGCAGAGCUCGCUAGAUUACUUGUAG
rnacentral:rRNA from 1 species